GUGGGGAAUCUUGCGCAAUGGGCGAAAGCCUGACGCAGCCAUGCCGCGUGAAUGAUGAAGGUCUUAGGAUUGUAAAAUUCUUUCACCGGGGACGAUAAUGACGGUACCCGGAGAAGAAGCUCCGGCUAACUUCGUGCCAGCAGCCGCGGUAAUACGAAGGGGGCUAGCGUUGCUCGGAAUUACUGGGCGUAAAGGGCGCGUAGGCGGACAGCUUAGUCAGAGGUGAAAGCCCAGGGCUCAACCUUGGAAUUGCCUUUGAUACUGGCUGGCUUGAGUUUGGGAGAGGUGAGUGGAACUCCGAGUGUAGAGGUGAAAUUCGUAGAUAUUCGGAAGAACACCAGUGGCGAAGGCGACUCACUGGCCCAAUACUGACGCUGAGGCGCGAAAGCGUGGGGAGCAAACAGGAUUAGAUACCCUUGUAGUCC
rnacentral:rRNA from 1 species